rnacentral:tRNA from 3 species
GUUCUUAUGGUGUAAUAACACAUUACAUUUUCAUUGUAAAACUAAAGGUAAGACUCCUUUUAAAAACA